rnacentral:pre_miRNA from 1 species
AUAUAAGGCAGUUUAUCUUUAAGCAGGGAAAGUUACUCUAAAAGAAAUGAAUCCUGGAUAGUUUUUCCUUCGAGUCAGGCAUCUUAU